ACGCGAGCUGGGUUCAGAACGUCGUGAGACAGUUCGGUCCCUAUCCGUCGCAGGCGUAGGAAAUUUGAGAAGACCUGUCCUUAGUACGGGAGGACCGGGAUGGACGUACCUCUGGUGUACCAGUUGUCCUGCCAAGGGCAUGGCUGGGUAGCUAUGUACGGAAUGGAUAAGCGCUGAAAGCAUCUAAGCGCGAAGCCAACUUCAAGAUAAGAUUUC
rnacentral:rRNA from 1 species